AAGACCUUGCGCUUUUGGAGCGGCCGAUGUCUGAUUAGCUAGUUGGUGGGGUAAUGGCCUACCAAAGCUUCGAUCAGUAGCUGGUCUGAGAGGACGGCCAGCCACACUGGGACUGAGACACGGCCCAGACUCCUACGGGAGGCAGCAGUGGGGAAUUUUGGACAAUGGGCGCAAGCCUGAUCCAGCCAUGCCGCGUGAGUGAAGAAGGCCUUCGGGUUGUAAAGCUCUUUCAGCCGGGAAGAAAAGGUUGCGAUUAAUAAUCGCAAUUGAUGACGGUACCGGAAGAAGAAGCACUGGCUAACUACGUGCCAGCAGCCGCGGUAAUACGUAGGGUGCGAGCGUUAAUCGGAAUUACUGGGCGUAAAGGGUGCGCAGGCGGUUUUGUAAGUCAGAUGUGAAAUCCCCGGGCUUAACCUGGGAACU
rnacentral:rRNA from 1 species